GAUGAACGCUAGCGGCAGGCUUAACACAUGCAAGUCGAGGGGUAGAGGCUUUCGGGCCUUGAGACCGGCGCACGGGUGCGUAACGCGUAUGCAAUCUGCCUUCCACAGAGGGAUAGCCCAGAGAAAUUUGGAUUAAUACCUCAUAGUAUAACCAGUCCGCAUGGUCUGGUUAUUAAAGUCACAACGGUGGAAGAUGAGCAUGCGUCCCAUUAGCUAGUUGGUAAGGUAACGGCUUACCAAGGCGACGAUGGGUAGGGGUCCUGAGAGGGAGAUCCCCCACACUGGUACUGAGACACGGACCAGACUCCUACGGGAAGCAGCAGUGAGGAAUAUUGGUCAAUGGGCGCAAGCCUGAACCAGCCAUGCCGCGUGCAGGAUGACGGUCCUAUGGAUUGUAAACUGCUUUUGUACGGGAAGAAACACUGAUUCGUGAAUCAGCCUGACGUUACCGUAAGAAUAAGGAUCGGCUAACUCCGUGCCAGCAGCCGCCGUAACAC
rnacentral:rRNA from 1 species